rnacentral:rRNA from 1 species
CGGGAGCAAUCCUGGUGGCGAGUGGCGAACGGGUGAGUAAUAUAUCGGAACGUGCCCAAUCGUGGGGGAUAACGCAGCGAAAGCUGUGCUAAUACCGCAUACGAUCUACGGAUGAAAGCGGGGGAUUCGCAAGAACCUCGCGCGAAUGGAGCGGCCGAUAUCAGAUUAGCUAGUUGGUGGGGUAAAAGCUCACCAAGGCGACGAUCUGUAGCUGGUCUGAGAGGACGACCAGCCACACUGGAACUGAGACACGGUCCAGACUCCUACGGGAGGCAGCAGUGGGGAAUUUUGGACAAUGGGCGCAAGCCUGAUCCAGCAAUGCCGCGUGCAGGAUGAAGGCCUUCGGGUUGUAAACUGCUUUUGUACGGAACGAAACGGUCUUCUCUAAUAAAGAGGGCUAAUGACGGUACCGUAAGAAUAAGCACCGGCUAACUACGUGCCAGCAGCCGCGGUAAUACGUAGGGUGCGAGCGUUAAUCGGAAUUACUGGGCGUAAAGCGUGCGCAGGCGGUGAUGUAAGACAGAUGUGAAAUCCCCGGGCUCAACCUGGGACCUGCAUUUGUGACUGCAUCGCUAGAGUACGGUAGAGGGGGAUGGAAUUCCGCGUGUAGCAGUGAAAUGCGUAGAUAUGCGGAAGAACACCGAUGGCGAAGGCAAUCCCCUGGACCUGUACUGACGCUCAUGCACGAAAGCGUGGGGAGCAAACAGGAUUAGAUACCCUGGUAGUCCACGCCCUANACGAUGUCAACUGGUUGUUGGGUCUUUGCUGACUCAGUAACGAAGCUAACGCGUGAAGUUGACCGCCUGGGGAGUACGGC